GUGCUUGCUUCGGCAGCACAUAUACUAAAAUUGUAAUAAUACAGAGAAGAUUAGCAUGGCCCCUGCAUCAGGAUGACAGGUGAAGUGUUCCAUAUUUUU
rnacentral:snRNA from 3 species